rnacentral:rRNA from 1 species
GAAUGCUGACAUAAGUAACGAUAAAGCGGGUGAAAAGCCCGCUCGCCGGAAGACCAAGGGUUCCUGUCCAACGUUAAUCGGGGCAGGGUGAGUCGACCCCUAAGGCGAGGCCGAAAGGCGUAGUCGAUGGGAAACAGGUUAAUAUUCCUGUACUUGGUGUUACUGCGAAGGGGGGACGGAGAAGGCUAUGUUGGCCGGGCGACGGUUGUCCCGGUUUAAGCGUGUAGGCUGGUUUUCCAGGCAAAUCCGGAAAAUCAAGGCUGAGGCGUGAUGACGAGGCACUACGGUGCUGAAGCGACAAAUGCCCUGCUUCCAGGAAAAGCCUCUAAGCAU